AAGUCGUAACAAGGUUUCCGUAGGUGAACCUGCGGAAGGAUCAUUAACACGUUCUAAACGUUUAUCAAACCAAUACCAUUUCACCAUAUUUUACCUAUUUGACUAAAUUUCUAUUCCUUGGAGAAAUCCUCUGGAAUGACUAAGAUUUUAUCUUAACUAAGCACAACUCUUAGCAAUGGAUAUCUUGGUUCUC
rnacentral:misc_RNA from 1 species